rnacentral:rRNA from 1 species
CUAGUGUGAAUUGCAGAAUUCCGCGAAUCAUCGAGUCUUUGAACGCAAGUUGCGCCCGAGGCUCGUACCGAGGGCAUGUCUGUCUGAGCGUCCA